rnacentral:rRNA from 1 species
UGCCAGCCGCCGCGGUAAUACGGAGGGUGCAAGCGUUAAUCGGAAUUACUGGGCGUAAAGCGCGCGUAGGCGGUUUGGUAAGUAGGCUGUGAAAGCCCCGGGCUUAACCUGGGAACUGCAGUCUAAACUGCUUAACUAGAGAUCAGUAGAGGGAGGUGGAAUUCCUGGUGUAGCGGUGAAAUGCGUAGAGAUCAGGAAGAACAUCGGUGGCGAAGGCGACCUCCUGGACUGUGUCUGACGCUGAGGUGCGAAAGCGUGGGUAGCGAACAGGAUUAGAUA